AUGGAGGGGGCGACUGAGUGGCUGGCGCAGACCAUCCUGGGAACCCUGUCCAUCCCGCAGCUGCAGGCGUGGAUUCGCCGGCAGGGGCUUGGCCAUGACAUCCAGCUGCUCGAGUCGGAGGUCGAGAUGGUGGACAUGGUGUGCGCUGCCGUCAGGGACAGGGCCGCCGGGAACAAGCCGCUCGCCCGCCUCGAGGGCGCGCUCUACGACGCCGACGACUUGGUGGACGAGCUUGACUACCACCGCCUCCUUGACCUCAACCUUGACAGCCCGCCCGCUACAGCUUCAUUAGUCGUCGGGCGCAACGACACGGCAGUACAAUCUGCACACGCCGGCAUGUUGGUCCAAUCCUCUACUGCAGAUUCGCCGGGUGAUGGCUUGAGUCAGCAUGAUGGCAUAUAUGGGGCAGUGGUGGUGGAUAAUAACAAGGAUAACAAGUCAAGGACAGAUGGAGAUAUACGGAGUAGGCAGCGUGCCAAGACUCGAUCUGCUGUAUGGCAAUACUUUGUGGUCUCGGAAGCAGAUGAAUUCGAAAGGCCCGCGAAAGCUAAAUGCGUGAAAUGUGGCUCAGAGCUCAACUGUGGAUCCAAAUACGGGACAUCAGGCUUGAAACGCCAUAUCCGUACUGAGGCUUGUGGCAAGAAGAAAGAAGCAGCUGAGCAGGCGCUUAUUCCUUCAAGCAGCACUGGUGGUACAGGAAAUGGUGAAACUGUUGCACUUGGUGAUUCACGCCACACAAAAAGGAAGAGAAUGGAUGACGAGUCAACACACGCGACCAAAGCUAAAACACAAUUUUGGAACAAGGUUGAAUAUUCGCAUAGGAUACGAGUAAUAACUCGCCUGUUACAAGGCACAUCAAGGGUUCUGAUUAAGGUUCUCAAGUUACAUGGAACAGGCUUUGUUGCAAGCUCAAAUCAGUAUCCAAGUAAAACAUCGAAUCAACACCUACGAACAUCAAGUGUUGUUCCAAGGAAAGUUUAUGGAAGAGUUGCAGAGAAGGACUACAUCAUAAAUUUCAUGAGAGAAUACAAACCCGAUGGUCUAUAUGUUCUUCCUAUUGUAGGCAGUGCAGGAAUUGGGAAGACUACUCUUGCUCAGCUUGUAUACAAUGAUCCAACCAUGGCAGAGCGCUUUGACCAAAGGAUAUGGGUUUCGGUGUCUAACAACUUUGAUGAAGUGAGACUCUCAAAAGAGAUCUUAGAUUGUGUCUCUCAGCAAACACAUGAAGGACUAUGCAGCUUUUCCAAGCUUCAGGAGGUCUUGAAGAUGCAUAUCACAUCAAAGAGGAUUCUGCUUAUUUUUGAUGAUGUCUGGGAUGACUUCAACCUCUGCAGAUGGAGCCAACUAUUAGCUCCUUUGCAGUCUAACACUAAGGGCACUGUGAUUCUUUUGACAACUCGAAACUUGUCUGUUGCACAAACUGUCUGUACAGUUGAACCAUUCAAGUUAUGUGAUUUAGCAUAUGAGGAAUUUUGGUCAUUAUUUAAAUCAUGUGCAUUUGGUGAUGAGAACUAUGGCAGCAAUCAAAAUCUAAGCAGCAUUGGACUGCGAAUAGCAGAGAAGUUAAAGGGAAACCCAUUAGCAGCUGUAACAGUAGGCGGGCUAUUAAGGAUGAACCUUACCAUUGAUCACUGGAAUAACAUUCUGAAGAACGAAGAUUGGAAAUCUCUGCAACUAAAUGGAGGCAUAAUGACUUCUUUGAAGCGUAGCUAUGAUCAGCUCCCCUACCAUUUACAACAAUGCUUCUUAUUUUGUUCUAUAUUCCCCGAGAGGUAUCAGUUCCUUGAUGAGGAAUUGGUCCAAAUUUGGAUUUCAAUGGGAUAUGUGAAGUGUGACAAUUCAAGUAAGAGGCUUGAGGAGAAAGGAAUGGACUAUUUGGCUGAUCUUGUGAACUUGGGCUUCUUUGAGCAAGUUGAAAGAGAAGACACCUAUCCAGGUAGUCAAACUUGCUAUGUUAUUUGCGGUCUUAUGCAUGAUUUUGCGAGGGUUGUCUCAAGAACUGAGUGUGCAACUAUAGAUGGCCUGCAGUGCUGUGAGAUGCUGCCAACUAUACGCCAUUUGUCAGUAGUAAGUGAUCCUGGAUAUAGCACAGAUCAACAUGCAAGCAUACCUAGCAAUAAGAAGUCUGAGAAGAACAUGUUCGCCGGAUGUACAUCGCUGUGGAAAUUGAGGACAUUGGUAUUCAUUGGGCAGUAUGACAUGUUCUUCUUCAAAUCCUCUCCAGAUAUAUUCCAAGGGGCACAUAAUUUGCGCCUGCUGCAAAUUUCUGCAGCACCUGCUGGUUUAAACCCUUUACUGUGCAGUUUGGUGAAUUUGAAACAUCUUCGCUACUUAGACAUCAAAGCUGCUGAUGGGCUUGGGGCUUUGCCUCAAAUUUUGAGCAAGUUUUGCCAUCUUGAAGUAUUACAUGUUGGCUCAUACACCAAUCCUACUAUGCCUGUCAGGAUUGACCAUAUUUUCAGGUUGCGGCAUCUUGUUACAGAAGAGGAGGCAUACUCUUCCAUUGCUAACAUUGGUAACCUGACUUCUCUUCAGGAGCUACCCAAUUUUGUGGUUCAAACUUCCAGUGGCUAUGAGAUAAGACAACUCCAGUCCAUGAAAGAGCUUGUACAACUUGGGGUGUCUCAACUUGAAAAUGUUAAAACUCGAGAGGAGGCUUACGGGGCAGGACUCAGAGACAAAAACCACUUGGAAAAACUGCACUUGUCCUGGAAAGGUGCCUCGCCAGAUGAUGAAUAUGAUAGUGACCUGAGCUCUGGUAAUGAUUGGUUGUCAGUAGAGGUUCUUGAGGGCCUUCAACCACCCACUAACCUAAAGCAUCUGCAGAUAUCUGGGUACAGUGGGCAACUCUUCCCAACUUGGCUUGCCGACAGUAUCUCAGUUACUUCUUUGCAGACUCUUCAUAUAGAGAGUUGUGGAAAAUUGGAAAUAUUUCCUUCUCUUGUACAGCUUCCGUUUCUCAGAACGUUGAAGUUGAUGGCAAUGAUUAGUGUUACAGAAGUAUCAUUUCCUUCGUUGGAGGAGCUGGUAUUAAUUCAAAUGCCAAAGUUGGUUCGGUGUUCCUGCAUUUCCACUCUGGACUUGAGCUCCAAUUUAAGGUUUCUGCACAUCAAGAGGUGUCCUGCACUGAAGAUAUUUCCUCUAUUUGAGGUUUCCCAGAAAUUUAUAAUCAAGCAGAAAUCUUGGUUGCCCAGUAUUAGGGAACUCAUUAUCCAUGGAUGUCCUAACUUAUUGGUGCCACGUCCCCUUCCUCCUUCAAUUACCAUUUCCAAACUAUCCAUCGUCGAUGUCCCAACACUCCCAAGGAUAGAGGUGUCAUCUGGUGACACACUAACAAUUGGAUCCAGGAGUGAGGGCUAUGAUAAUUUUGAUAGUUCUUCGGACAUGAUGACUGUACUGGAUCGUGAAAUUUUGGCAUUCCACAACCUGAGGGGCCUCAGAUACUUGCGUAUAGACGGCUGCCAAAAUCUAGUGUAUAUUUCAUUCACAGAAUUAGUGCAACUUAUUUCUUUAAAGAGUUUGGAAAUAUGCUGCUGUCGAAAACUUUUCUCCUCAAAAGUUAUGCCAGAGCAUACCCGUGAAGAUGUGACAGCUGCAGAUCGCAAGCCCCUCCCAUCUCUUGUCACUCUCAGAAUUAAGUGUUGUGGAAUAGUAGGGAAGUGGCUGUCUUUGAUGCUGGGAUAUGUGCUGGCCCUAGCAGAAUUGCUUUUAGAGGAUUGUCCAGGAAUAACACAGUUAGCGAUAGAAGAGGAAGAAAACAUUCAAUCUUAUUGUACCUCAGUUCCAGUGGAUUCAUCAUCAGGAGGUUUAAAUGACACAUUUUUUACAAGCUCUGCUCAAGAUGGACUCUUAAGCCUUCCACCGAAUCUCAUGUCCUCUCUCAAGAGGAUGUCGAUUCGGGAGUGCCCUCGUCUAGUAUUUUGCGGGAACAACAAAGGCUUGUCUAGAUUUACCUGCCUUGAGAAGCUAACAAUCUGGGGAUGCCCCGGGCUGCUCUCAUCUUUGGUGGAUAAAGAUGGAAAUGAUGAUGAGAUGAACGGAAGAUGGCUCCUGCCGAAAUCACUUGUAGAACUUGAGAUCCGUGGUGAUUCACCAGAAAUGCUGCAGCCCUGUUUUCCAGAGAAUGUGAGCUGCCUCAAAAAAAUGGAGGUGUGGUUCAGCCCAAGUCUGAGAUCUCUACAGCUGCGUACCUGCAUGGCACUGGAAGAGUUGAUAAUUGUAAACUGUAGAUCACUCGCUGCACUAGAGAGCUUGCAAUUGCUUGACAGCCUUAGGCAUUUCAAAGUAUUCAGAUCCCCUGGCAUGCUUCCAUGUUUGGAGAAUUUGUCUUUAUGCCCUGGACUAGAAAGGCUUGUGAUUGAUGACCCUUCUGUCUUUACUGUGUCAAUCUGCAAGCAACUCACCUCCCUCCAACGCCUAGAACUUGAAAAAUGUGAAUUUGUGACCAGACUAACAGAGCAGCAAGAGAGAGGGCUUCAGCUCCUGACAUCCUUGCAAGAGCUGGAAUUCCGGGAUUGCCAUGAUCUCAAAUAUCUCCCAGGGGCAUUGCACCGGCUUCCUUCGCUCAAGAAGUUGAAGAUCAAUGGUUGUUUGGGAAUCUCAAGGCUGCCUGAACAGGGCCUUCCACUCUCGCUGCAGGAACUGGAUAUCAGCAACUGCAGCAAGGUGUUUAAUGAUCACUGCAAGUCUCUAGCAGCAGGGAAGCUAAAGGUCAAAAUUGUUGGAAAUACAGAAACUGUUUAA
rnacentral:rRNA from 1 species